AUACGGAGGGGGCAAGCGUUGUUCGGAAUUACUGGGCGUAAAGCGCGCGUAGGCGGUUUGUUAAGUCGGAUGUGAAAGCCCUGGGCUCAACCUGGGAACUGCAUUCGAUACUGCCUCACUAGAGUAUGGUAGAGGGAAGUGGAAUUCCGGGUGUAGCGGUGAAAUGCGUAGAUAUCCGGAGGAACAUCAGUGGCGAAGGCGACUUCCUGGCCCAAUACUGACGCUGAGGUGCGAAAGCGUGGGGAGCAAACAGGAUUAGAUACCCCGGUAGUCC
rnacentral:rRNA from 1 species